rnacentral:lncRNA from 1 species
GGGUUAGCGUCCAACCUCCUUUCUCCGCUUCAGCCCCGCCCGCCCUGCUAUUCUCCUAGCCGCUUCUCCCGCACAACCUACGGGGGGAGAGGCGGGGCUGGGGCUCCAGCCGCCCUAGGAGAUCCUCCCCUCCUCCCGCCUGCUUCCCCGCCUCGCUCCCUCUCCCGUCUUUUCUCUUUCCUCCUCUCUCCUCCCCACCCCCCCCCGCCACUGGCCCCUCCCCGCCCUCUCCCACCUCCCUCCACCCUCCCCCCUCCUCCCUCCGCGCCUGGGCCGCUGAAGGCUGAGUCAUCGCUGCGGCGCUGCCGGGAGAGCAGGCGAGCAGCUCACAUCCCACCGCGAUGUGGCCGACAGGAUUCCGGACUUUCGGGAGAAUAUGGUGGAAACUGGAGCUGUUCGCCGUGCACGGGGGUCCGCAGAUCUAAAGAGUCAAGUGCUGUGAGACCCCGUGGGAAUUAGCAAACCCCUCUGAUCCAGUGACUAUUGCUGAGAUGGGCAGAC